AAUUUCUGCAAAUUAGCUCGGACAAAUAAUUUCACAAUUUCAUUUGAGGCGUCGAAUUGAACGGUCGACCUGGAAAAAGCACCAAGCAGAGAAGUGCAACACCGAACAAUAGUUCCCCCUUCAACCACCGGACGCCACACUCUGGCGGACGAGUCACAAACAUUCACAAACGCAGAUAUAAAAACAAGUGGAACAUUGGCUAAGGGUGUCAUUACAAAUUCACCGUUGGAAGAGUCGAUGCAAAAAAAUAAUUGACAUAGAAAAAAACAAAAAAAAAAACUGGAUGCAGACUGUGAAGGAUAGUGAAAAUAUAGAAAAACUAUUUGGUGUUUUUAAGUUUUGUGAAAAUUUUUGUUAGACUUGUAUAUCGGUUCGGUUAAGCAUUUUGUGUGGAUUUUCUUAGCUGCGUUGAAGUAUUUAAAUUUGUGUGUUUUCUACCAGUUUUCCUAAUUUCUACGUCAAAUGUAUAAGGAAAUAAAUCUUUAACUCAACUAACCGCAGCAAGCGUAAAUUAUCUUAAAUGUUGAAACGCAAACGUUAUAAAAAACAUAAAAAGUAUUAAAAGUUAAGUUCGAAAAAAAUAAAAAAAAAUAAAAAAAGUGAAUAUUUAAACAAUUUGUUGUGGAAACUUUUGCCAUGAACCUCAUACCAAAUAUGAGCGAUAAAAUGUUUAUAUUGAUUUUAUUUUAUUAUAACGGUUCAUAUAAUUGGAAUAAAAAGGUUUAAGAAACUUACAGAAAAAGUGUAGAACAUUCAGUAGAAACGCAGAGAAGCCGCAGGAGAAGGAUACAAGUGUAGCAGUGCGCGGCAGAGACGUUGGCAAGGACAAUUAUUUUAACCAGAGAAAGACGUGUGAAAAGUGUAUUAUUUUUAACAUUAACGAUAUAAUUUCACUUAGUUUUUUCCCCAAAAUAAGAAUUAUAAGCAAAAAGAAAUUUGCAAAUAUUAAUAUUUUUCGAGUGUUCGUAUUUGAGAAAAGCCUUCAAAGGAAAGCCAUUUGCUUGCGACACAACUUUCAACUUUAGAGCCUAAACUAAAAAAAAAUAGCAACGGAGCAACAAUAAAACAACAAAUCGCUAUUUCACAACGCUUGGACCAAAAUACUCGAAGAUACCGAAGAGAGGAUUGCGUAUCAAAACAAACACGCGCACUAAAAACAGCAGAUAAAACGGAAGUAAAUAGCGAUUGCAGAUAAUAAACAUUUGAAAGCGUUAAUAAAAAAAACGAAAAAGAAAACGUUAAACAAUAAACAAUUAAAACAAAUA